ACAGAGCAGGUGGUGUGUCUUUUUAACAACAGCUCAGAUUCAAACGGGGAACGCCUGGGAGGGAAAGCUAGAAAUUGCCAUCCGUCAGUAAACGGGGUUUGCAGAGCUCUCUCUGCUCCCUGCCUGGGCACCGCGCUCCUCCGCUGCCGGCCGGGCAGCCACAGCCUGGCGUGUGCUGCGGAGCGGAGCGGGCAGCGCAGAGCCUGCCCGGCUUGUCUGAGGUGUGAGGGCGAGCGGAAUGGCAGAGGAGCGAUAAAUCCCAGGCAUGAAAUAAAACAAGGCUUCUGGAAGAGCGCUGUCAGCUUCUCCGGGGAACAGAGCCGUCUCUCUCCUCUGCCUGGGGACUGACUCCCUUUCCUCCGGGCUGAGGCGUCUCAUCCCGGGAGCUGCCAGGGGCCAGGACCCUGCUCGCCGCCGCCGAGGGGCAGCCGCCGGCCCCGGCCCCGGCCCCGCCGCCAGCGGAGCUGUCCCGGCGCUGCUCCGUUCGCUGCCCCUCUCGGCGAGCUCUCCUUCUUGGGUUUCCAUCCCGGGGUGCGGGCACACAGCAGUCUGCCCAAAACCUUCUUGUUUGGGGAACGGCUGGAAAAAGGACCGGGGAGGAAACAGGGACCGCCUUAGCCGGCAAGGGAAGGCACGCCGCACACAGAGCCGCAGCGAGCCUGCACAGCUUUCCCGGCUUUUGGCUUGUGCCUGCUGUGUCUUCUGCGAUCACAGGCCUCUUCAUUCAUCUUAACACUGGGAGCUUCAGGGCUUCUCUUGUGCUGGCAGCAGCUGCUGAUCCCAAGUGAAACAGCUGCCACAGUCUCCUUCUUGAGGAUGCAUCCCAGAAUGGACUGUUUCUUCUGAGAGGACAACAUAGCCUCCAAUUUGGCAGUGCAUCUUUGGGUUUAUUGUUUAUGUGCUAUGGAAGUGAUUCAGAAACCCUCACAAUAAAUAUUUCUAAUGACCUAUAUCUUCAGAAGAACUGUGUUCUCUAAGGUGAAGCAGGAUUGAAGUGAAUGUCAUUAGAA